rnacentral:lncRNA from 1 species
GGCAAAGACCAGACGCAGCGGCGUAUGCUGUGUACAGGUACUCAAUGAGUCAAAAGUCUAAAGUACAAAAAAGUAGAGCCUCUACCAAAUUCUCCAUAAGCCAUUGGUGUGUUUCCCAUUACCCAGGGAGUCAUUUAGGUAAUUAAGUAUGCCUGGCACAGAGAAUACAAGUAUGGACAAUCAAACCCUUAUUCUCCAGAGGUUGGUACAGAAGAAAAACAGGAAGAAAAAUAUGGAUGAGUUAAGUGCUGUGUUAGAGAAAUGAACCAGGUGCUAUGAGAAUACCAAUGAGAAAAUUCAGAAUUUGUCUAGAGCUUCUAAUUUAAGGCUUGACAAAUAUGAUGAUUUCAAAGUUACACCAUAAGGCCAAAGGAGUCUACUAGCAGAUGGGAGGAGGGAAUGCUAUUGAACAGUGUAGUGUAAAAGUGUUGGGAACCUGGGGAGAAAAUGAGUUUGUAAUAAUGAAAGAAGUGUUUCUGAAAUGAUUGAAAACAUAAUCUUUGAGGAAACAGAUUUCAAACAUUCAGAAAAAAAAAAAAACAAAAAAGAUUCACAUUUCAUCAUGUCAAAUAAAUAUACUAAAGAGAAAACAGGAUUUUAUUAAGCAGUCUCCAGGAAAAGAAUUUGAGCUACUGAGAACGGAAAGGAGGGGAUAUAUGGAGCUGGAGAAUCAAGAAAGCCUCCUGAAAAAAAUGUGGCGGCCAUGCUUGUUCUCCUGAGCUUUGCCUCGUGGUGUCCUUGUCUUUGUGUCUCUCCUUCAGAGCUGGUAUGAAGACUAACUUGAUGCCCAGUGACUUCAUCUGACCAGCCCUUCUACCGCCGCAUCUCAGUGGGUAACCUCUGUUCCUAACAGACUAGUGCUCCGAAGAGGCCAUACUCAUUUAUAACUCUAAUCGUGUGACUACCAUGCCUGCAAGGUCCUUCUCUCAGACCUCUACUGUCUAAAUCUUACCAUUGGAGAAGGAUGAGAUUCUCAAAGCACAAAUCAGAUCACACAUUAAAACCUUCCUAUGGUCUUCCCUGCUAUUAGACAA